UACGAAGGGUGCAAGCGUUAAUCGGAAUUACUGGGCGUAAAGCGCGCGUAGGUGGUUCGUUAAGUUGGAUGUGAAAGCCCCGGGCUCAACCUGGGAACUGCUUUCAUAACUGCUUGGCUAGAGUACGGUAGAGGGUAGUGGAAUUUCCUGUGUAGCGGUGAAAUGCGUAGAUAUAGGAAGGAACACCAGUGGCGAAGGCGACUACCUGGACUGAUACUGACACUGAGGUGCGAAAGCGUGGGGAGCAAACAGGAUUAGAUACCCCUGUAGUCC
rnacentral:rRNA from 1 species